rnacentral:rRNA from 1 species
UUUUCACCACCUGUGCACAUUUUGUAGGCUUGGAUAAAUAUGUCUCGAGGAAGCUCGGUUUGAGGACUGCCGUGCUGCAAAAGCCAGGCUUUCCUUGUAUUUUUCCAGCCUAUGCAUUUUAUUAUACACUCGGUAUGUCAUGGAAUGUUAUUUGGUUGGCUUAAUUGCCAGUAAACCUUAUACAACUUUCAACAACGGAUCUCUUGGCUCUCGCAUCGAUGAAGAACGCAGCGAAAUGCGAUAAGUAAUGUGAAUUGCAGAAUUCAGUGAAUCAUCGAAUCUUUGAACGCACCUUGCGCUCCUUGGUAUUCCGAGGAGCAUGCCUGUUUGAGUGUCAUGAAAUUCUCAACCUUUUCAGCUUUUUGUUGAAUAGGCUUGGAUUUUGGGAGUUGUUGCAGGCUGCUCAGAAGUCUGCUCUCCUUAAAUGUAUUAGCGGGGCCCUUGUUGUCUAGCAUUUGGUGUGAUAAUUAUCUACGCCAUUGUGAACAAUGUAAUAGGUCGGCUUCUAAUCGUCUCGUAAAGAGACAAUCUCUGACAUUU